rnacentral:rRNA from 1 species
GACGAACGCUGGCGGCGUGCUUAACACAUGCAAGUCGAGCGGAAAGGCCCUUCGGGGUACUCGAGCGGCGAACGGGUGAGUAACACGUGAGUAACCUGCCCCAGACUUUGGGAUAACCCUCGGAAACGGGGGCUAAUACCGGAUACGACACAGCUUCGCAUGGGGUCUGUGUGGAAAGUUUUUCGGUUUGGGAUGGGCUCGCGGCCUAUCAGCUUGUUGGUGGGGUGAUGGCCUACCAAGGCGACGACGGGUAGCCGGCCUGAGAGGGCGACCGGCCACACUGGGACUGCGACACGGCCCAGACUCCUACGGGAGGCAGCAGUGGGGAAUAUUGCACAAUGGGCGGAAGCCUGAUGCAGCGACGCCGCGUGAGGGAUGACGGCCUUCGGGUUGUAAACCUCUUUCAGCAGGGACGAAGCGUAAGUGACGGUACCUGCAGAAGAAGCGCCGGCCAACUACGUG